rnacentral:rRNA from 1 species
CCAGACUCCUACGGGAGGCAGCAGUGGGGGAUAUUGCACAAUGGGGGGAACCCUGAUGCAGCGACGCCGCGUGGGUGAAGGAGUAUUUCGGUAUGUAAAGCCCUAUCGGCAGGGAAGAAUUUAGACGGGACCUGACUAAGAAGCCCCGGCUAACUACGUGCCAGCAGCCGCGGUAAUACGGAGGAUGCGAGGGUUAUCCGGUUUUAUUGGGUUUAAAGGGUGCGCAGGCGGAAGAUCAAGUCAGCGGUAAAAUGGAGAGGCCAAACCUCUCCGAGCCGUUGAAACUGGUUUUCUUGAGUGAGCGAGAAGUAUGCGGAAUGCGUGGUGUAGCGGUGAAAUGCAUAGAUAUCACGCAGAACUCCGAUUGCGAAGGCAGCAUACCGGCGCUCAACUGACGCUCAUGCACGAAAGUGUGGGUAUCGAACAGGAUUAGAUACCCUCGUACUA